GGUAACGAGAACUGGAAAGGAACUGCAGAACCAUAGAAAGGAAACGUUACACAGGAAGAGACCUGAAGGGUGAAAGUUCAAGAGAGCUUAGCAUGCAAAAAAGCAAACUUGACCACCGAGAGUAAAAGAGAUCUUACUCAAGGAUGCAAGAGGUAAUCUCACUUUUGACACCCACAGAUCUCGAUUUAUAAAAAAA
ncrna:unclassified sequences IMES-1 RNA motif